GACGAAGGGUGCAAGCGUUAUCCGGAUUCAUUGGGUUUAAAGGGCGCGUAGGCGGAUUGGUAAGUCAGUGGUGAAAUCUGUGGGCUUAACCCACAAACUGCCAUUGAUACUGCUGAUCUAGAGUACAGUUGCCGUUGGCGGAAUAUGACAUGUAGUGGUGAAAUACUUAGAUAUGUCAUAGAACACCGAUUGCGAAGGCAGCUAACGAAGCUGUAACUGACGCUGAGGCUCGAAAGUGCGGGGAUCAAACAGG
rnacentral:rRNA from 1 species